rnacentral:rRNA from 1 species
CCCUUAGAUGUUCUGGGCCGCACGCGCGCUACACUGAUGCAUUCAACGAGCCUAUCCUUGACCGACAGGUCCGGGUAAUCUUUGAAUCUGCAUCGUGACGGGGAUAGAUUAUUGCAAUUAUUAAUCUUCAACGAGGAAUGCCUAGUAGGCACAAGUCAUCAGCUUGUGUUGAUUACGUCCCUGCCCUUUGUACACACCGCCCGUCGCUCCUACCGAUUGAAUGUUCCGGUGAGCUCUUCGGACUGCGCGGUCUGCAGUUUCUGCGUUCCGUGCGGAAAGUUGCGCAAACCUUAACAUUUAGAGGAAGGAGAAGUCGUAACA